UACAGAGGGUGCGAGCGUUAAUCGGAAUUACUGGGCGUAAAGCGCGCGUAGGCGGCUUUGCAAGUCGAGUGUGAAAUCCCCAGGCUUAACCUGGGAACUGCAUUCGAGACUGCAUAGCUAGAGUAUGGGAGAGGGAAGUGGAAUUUCAGGUGUAGCGGUGAAAUGCGUAGAUAUCUGAAGGAACAUCAGUGGCGAAGGCGGCUCACUGGCCCGGUACUGACGCUGAGGUGCGAAAGCGUGGGGAGCAAACAGG
rnacentral:rRNA from 1 species